rnacentral:lncRNA from 1 species
ACGGAAGUUAGAGUGUUGAAGCUCCAAACAUGACGGUCAGAUUUCUGCAAGCUUCAAAGCUGCUGCGGUGUUUCGAAGAUCUGGAAAUAUUCAACCGUUAGUUUGUUCUGAAUUUUUGAUAUGUUAUGGAAGAGAUGAUGAGGAACAACUUCCAUGAAGAAAGUAUGUUGAUCUGAACAAGAGAAAAUGGAGUUUCGAAGCUCACAACAAGUCUGACGGGUUAACAGAAAAUUGAUGAACAGUUACUCAUCAUACUUGAAUUUCUGAAGUUGUACUACUCCGAUGGAUCUCAAAUUUGGAUAUGUUGUAGUUCACAAGAUAAGGAACAACUUUCAUGAAGACGACUUUGCAAUCUGAGCUAUAGAGAAUGGUGUUAUCUUGCAUCCACUCAGGCUGAUUAGUGGAAACGAAAAGCAAUUCCA